CCUACGGGAGGCAGCAGUGAGGAAUAUUGGUCAAUGGGCGCGAGCCUGAACCAGCCAAGUCGCGUGAAGGAUGACUGCCCUACGGGUUGUAAACCUCUUUUAUAAAGGAAUAAAGUGAGGGACGUGUGCCUUUUUGUAUGUACCUUAUGAAUAAGGAUCGGCUAACUCCGUGCCAGCAGCCGCGGUAAUACGGAGGAUCCGAGCGUUAUCCGGAUUUAUUGGGUUUAAAGGGAGCGUAGAUGGGUUGUUAAGUCAGAUGUGAAAGUUUGCGGCUUAACCGUAGAAGUGCAAUUGAUACUGGCAGUCUUGAGUGCAGUAGAGGUAUGCGGAAUUCGUGGUGUAGCGGUGAAAUGCGUAGAUAUCACGAAGAACCCCGAUUGCGAAGGCAGCUUAC
rnacentral:rRNA from 1 species